UGGGGGAGGAGGGCAGAGAGCAUCCCAGGAAUCAAAGCUGCUGUUCUUGUUUUCCCCUGACUGACUUGGCCCACACUACCGUGCCUGCCAGUGAGAAAGCCAUCCCCACCCAGCCUCUCUCUGCAAGCACCUCCCGCGGCUCUCUGGGUGAAGCUGGAGCUGUGGGCGCAGCAUCUCGCCUGGGUCCCAGCAGCAACGGUGAGCCAAGUCCUCACUGAGCAAAGUUCAGUGGUGAGUGGACCAAAGCGGGAGGCGGGGCGGCCGAGAGGAGGCAGAGUCCUAACCGCGGCCGUGCAGGCUACGUGCAGGCUACGUGCAGGCUGGACUGGAGGUGCAGCAACAGAGAUCCAAAAUUGCAAAUGACCAAGACCAACCAAAGGAAACCCAUCUGUCCCAGAUGACACCCUGAGGCAGUUGGCUGAGACACACAUUUUGGCAAGUCCAUUCUGGAUAAAGUCAUUGCUUCUCUUGAGAUGCAAGAAACUAGUGCUAUCUUGCAUAUGGGUAACUCAGAUGAAUUAGCCUGAACAAAGGGCUUUCCAGGCAGAGAGAGCAGCAGGUGCAAAGGCCCUGAGGCUGGACCAGGGGUGGCAAGUGGAAGGAAAAGCAUGUGUGGUUGAGUCCAUGAGGCAGGGCAGGGUAUAGAGAUGAGGUUGGAGAAAGCAGUUGGAGGCCAGAUUGCAUAGGAUCUUGAAGGCCUCUAAGGACUUCAGCUUCUACUGUGAGUGGGAUGGAAGACAAUGGAGGAUACUAAAUAGAGGAGUCUCAUGAUGGACUUAUGGCUUUAAAGAGUCACCCUGGUUGCUCCUUGAAAAAUAGGCUGGAGGCGCCUGGGUGGCUCAGUUGGUUGAGUGGCCGACUCUC